rnacentral:rRNA from 1 species
UACGUAGGGUCCGAGCGUUGUCCGGAAUUAUUGGGCGUAAAGGGCUCGUAGGCGGUCUGUCGCGUCUGCUGUGAAAACUCAGGGCUUAACCCUGAGCUUGCAGUGGGUACGGGCAGACUAGAGUGCGGUAGGGGAGACUGGAAUUCCUGGUGUAGCGGUGAAAUGCGCAGAUAUCAGGAGGAACACCGGUAGCGAAGGCGGGUCUCUGGGCCGUAACUGACGCUGAGGAGCGAAAGCAUGGGGAGCGAACAGG